UACGGAAGGCAGCAGUGGGGAAUAUUGCACAAUGGGCGCAAGCCUGAUGCAGCCAUGCCGCGUGUAUGAAGAAGGCCUUCGGGUUGUAAAGUACUUUCAGUCGUGAGGAAGGUGUUAAGGUUAAUAACCUUAGCAAUUGACGUUAGCGGCAGAAGAAGCACCGGCUAACUCCGUGCCAGCAGCCGCGGUAAUACGGAGGGUGCGAGCGUUAAUCGGAAUUACUGGGCGUAAAGGGCACGCAGGCGGUUAAUUAAGUUGGAUGUGAAAUCCCCGGGCUUAACCUGGGAAUGGCAUUCAAGCUGGUUAGCUAGAGUCUUGUAGAGGGGGUAGAAUUCCAUGUGUAGCGGUGAAAUGCGUAGAGAUGUGGAGGAAUACCGGUGGCGAAGGCGGCCCCUGGACAAAGACUGACGCUCAUGUGCGAAAGCGUGGGGAGCGAAACAGGGAUUAGAUACC
rnacentral:rRNA from 1 species